ensembl:lncRNA
CACCCUGACAGUACCCCCCCCUUAAGGGUCGACUCCCAGGCGACCCACGACAAGCAAAAAACAAAGAAAUUCAAACCCAAAACGGGUGGGUGGAGGGGCGCCAGGAGGGGGGAAUCAAAAAAAAAUGGACUGCGGCAGAGCCGAGGGACGUCAGGCGGCGUCCCAGAAAACUGCCCCAGGGCAUGGCAGGGAGCCUCAGGCGGACGGCCUGGGGGGCAAGCAGAGGCAGAGUGAAGGCGGAACCCUUCAGGAGGCCGGCGGCAAGGACGAUGAGGGCUCAGUCCCUCAGGAGACCUGCAGUGGCACAGAACCCCCUCAGAAGGCCGGCAGCGGUGAAGGCGGAACCCUUCAGGAGGCCGGCGAAGGCGAGGUAGAGGGCGGGUCCCCUCAGGAGGAAGGCCAGGUAGAGGGCGGGUCUCCUCAGGAGGAGGGCCAGGCAGAGGGCGGGUCCCCUCUGGUGGAAGGCCAGGUAGAGGGCGGGUCCCCUCUGGUGGAAGGCCAGGCAGAGGGCGGGUCCCCUCUGGUGGAAGGCCAGGCAGAGGGCGGGUCCCCUCUGGUGGAAGGCCAGGCAGAGGGCGGGUCCCCUCUGGUGGAAGGCCAGCUAGAGGGCGUGCCUCCCCUGGACGGUCUGGAGGGCGGACCCCCUCCGGUGGAAGCAGAGGCCGGUACCCCUCUGGAAGGAGCAGGGGGCGGGCCCCCUCAGGCAGGAGCGGAGGACGGACCACCUCAAGCAGGUGACGAGGCCGGUACCACUCUGGAAGGCGAGGAGUGGGCUCAGGAACCGGACAGGGCUCGGGGACCGGAGUCAGUGCGGGAGCUGGAGUACCAGGAGGAAGCGGGUGGUUCCCCAAACCCUCCCAGCGCUCCAUUGUCUUAUUUAUUCUGGCUAGUAAAUCCUCCAAACUACGGUCAAAUUGAGCGUCCGCUGGGUCCCAUCGUGGUGCUGUCAUUCUGUUAAAGGGAAGCUGGAGGUGCAGGCAGGCAGGUAGGACCCAAACGCAGACGGUAUUGAGGAAAACGGCACUUUAAUCACACCUAAAGGCUAAGGCACAGGAAUCAGGGAACUCGGGAGACAACAGGGAACUCUAGAGGGAACAAGGAACACGGAACACGCAGGACUAACAACCAACACUAACCACAGCAAACCACAAUGACAGCACAACGAACAAAGGAAAGACGAGGGCUUAAAUAACAAACACAACGAGGAACAGCUGAGACACAUUAGGGGAGGGAACAGCAAUCAACACAGGAAGGAAACACAGGGAGACACCCACACCCUG